rnacentral:rRNA from 1 species
AGCAUAUCAAUAAGCGGAGGAAAAGAAAACCAACAGGGAUUACCUCAGUAACGGCGAGUGAAGCGGUAAAAGCUCAAAUUUGAAAUCUGGCUCUUUUAGAGUCCGAAUUGUAAUUUGUAGAAGAUGCUUCGGGUGUGGUUCCGGUCUAAGUUCCUUGGAACAGGACGUCAUAGAGGGUGAGAAUCCCGUAUGUGACUGGAUACCUAUGCUCAUGUGAAGCUCUUUCGACGAGUCGAGUUGUUUGGGAAUGCAGCUCAAAAUGGGAGGUAUAUUUCUUCUAAAGCUAAAUAUUGGCCAGAGACCGAUAGCGCACAAGUAGAGUGAUCGAAAGAUGAAAAGCACUUUGGAAAGAGAGUUAAACAGUACGUGAAAUUGUUGAAAGGGAAGCGCUUGCAAUCAGACUUGCACUUGGUGUUCAUCAGGGUCUCGUACCCUGUGUACUUCAUCAAGUUCAGGCCAGCAUCAGUUUGAGUGGUUAGAUAAAGGCUUAGAGAAUGUGGCCCUCUUCGGGGGGUGUUAUAGCUCUAGGUGCAAUGUAGCCUACUUGGACUGAGGACCGCGCUUCGGCUAGGAUGCUGGCGUAAUGGUUGUAAGCGACCCGUCUUGAAACACGGACCAAGGAGUGUACCUAAUAUGCGAGUGUUUGGGUGUUAAACCCAUACGCGUAAUGAAAGUGAACGCUGGUGAGAACCCUUAAGGGUGCAUCAUCGACCGAUCUUGAUGUCUUCGGAUGGAUUUGAGUAAGAGCAUAUUGGGUGCGACCCGAAAGAUGGUGAUCUAUACGUGAAUAGGGUGAAGCCAGAGGAAACUCUGGUGGAGGCUCGCAGCGGUUCUGACGUGCAAAUCGAUCGUCAAAUUUGCGUAUAGGGGCGAAAGACUAAUCGA